UGUAAUUUUUACUCCGUAGAAAAUAGCGAAAAGUUCGUGAUUUUUUGUGUUCCUCCAACGGAGGUUUUUCAACGCUUAUAGGAAGAGCUACGGUCAUUCAGAACAAAAGCUGCCAGUUCGGGCAAGACGGACACAUUAAGAGGCCUACAAAUUACAAGCGCAAGAGUAACCGGCAGUCAUGGACCGCUCAGCAGUUGGAACAAGCCAUUAAGGCUGUAAAAAGUGGAUCGCCGGUGAAGACAACAGCAAGAAGUUACGCAAUUCCAAGAUCCACACUGAUUCGCCACCUCACAAGUCCAACUGUAUCAACUCGGCUAGGACCUCUUGAUUCCUUAUUCAAUCCUGAACAAGAAGAGGAGCUGGUACAACAUCUGUUGGAUUUGGAAAAGAGGUUCUAUGGAAUAACGAUGACUAAUGUUCGAAAGCUUGCUUUUGAUCUGGCCGAAAAAAAGUCACAGGAGGGUUGUGUCCAAGACACGACCGCAUAGUUGACGUAGGAUUCCGUUAGGCUAUCUGCUGCAUGCUGAUUUUUGAUAUGUUUGAAGAAUUACAUUGUUAAACUCUUCGAUAAUGAUUUGGGUCCGUUUUAUCUGGUUGUUAGGUAUUGUUUGUUCACUCCACCAGUGUCCAUAACCGAGUGAUAAUGCUAAAAAGAUGGUGAUUAGUCAUUAGAUGGUGCGUAUCACGUACUAAAGCCGCCCUCUGUGGUCCUGGACGAGAUGGCUCCUAUGUUAUGUAUAGAUGGAAUUAAGAAAAAAAAGCUCAUCAAUGUAAUAUAAGAUAAUUAUCAUUAUCGAACACAAGUUUUCUCACCAGAAAUGAAGAGUUACUUUAGUAUAGAGAAAAUAUAUUUGAA